CACCACUCCUAGUUCUUUUCGUUUUUUUGGUCUCCUCCUACUUCACUCUAGGGCUCUCUAGAGUCACUUCGAACCCUAAAAUCAGUCCCUCAAUGAAUCUUUUUCUUCUUUCUUGAAGAGAAGGUGAUAGUUGAAAGCAAUGAAUUGGAGGCUGAAAUACUUGACAUAUUGGAGCAUGAUAGAGAUGGGUGGAGUAGGAAAUUGAUAGAGAAGAAAAAACAAAAGAUUGCUGCAUUGGACAAGAAGAUUGGUACGCUUCAAAAUGUGUAUUGGGUUAUUCACUAUUUACAAAUGUUUAUAUUAUAUAGUGGUAGUUACGCUGUUUUACAAAUGGGAAUGAAUCAUCUCAUCACUAUCAUUAUGAGUAAAUCAAAUAAACCCUUAUGGAGAAAUGAAAUAAUCAUUUCGGUAGUUGUUACAUUGCUUCUCUAGGUUAUUAUGAAGAAAUGAAAUAAACCCUUUGUAUAUAUAGAUUAGAUUCAUAUGGAGACAGACUCCGUCAUUAGCUAUUAUGGGUUUGUUUUGAAAAGUGUUUUUGUAACUAGACUUGAGGUGGUAUUAUCUAGCUGUGAAUUUGUAAUGAAAAUGCUCUCUUCAUAUCAUCUAGUUUGACUUA